UGAGGGGGCACUUGAUGGUACUGCAAUUGU
rnacentral:piRNA from 1 species